GAUGAACGCUAGCUACAGGCUUAACACAUGCAAGUCGAGGGACCGGCGCACGGGAGAGUAACACGUAUCCAACCUGCCCUUUACUCGGUGAUAGCCUUACGAAAGACAGAUUAAUACCCGAUAUAAAGGAUGGGGAUGCGUUCCACUAGGGUGUUGGUGAGGUAACGGCUCACCAAGCCUUCGAUGGAUAGGGGUUCUGAGAGGAAGGUCCCCCACAUUGGAAAUGAGACACGGUCCAAACUGCGACGCGAGGCAGCAGUGAGGUAUAUUGGUCAAUGGGCGGUAGCCUGAACCAGCCAAGUGGCGUGAAGGAUGAAGGCUUAUGGGUCGUAAACUUCUUUUAUAUAAGAAUCGGUAUUAUAUGAAUAAGGAUCGGCUAACUCCGUGCCAGCCGCCGCGGUAAUAC
rnacentral:rRNA from 1 species